rnacentral:tRNA from 6 species
GGACGCGUAGCUCAGCUGGAUAGAGUACCUGGCUACGAACCAGGCGGUCGCAGGUUCGACUCCUGCCGUGUCCGCCA